AACGAACGCUGGCGGCAUGCCUAACACAUGCAAGUCGAACGAGACCUUCGGGUCUAGUGGCGCACGGGUGCGUAACGCGUGGGAACCUGCCCUUAGGUUCGGAAUAACUCCCCGAAAGGGGUGCUAAUACCGGAUAAUGUCUUCGGACCAAAGAUUUAUCGCCUUUGGAUGGGCCCGCGUUGGAUUAGCUAGUUGGUAGGGUAAAAGCCUACCAAGGCGACGAUCCAUAGCUGGUCAGAGAGGAUGGUCAGCCACACUUGGACUGAGACACGGCCCAGACUCCUACGGGAGGCAGCAGUGGGGAAUAGUGGACAAUGGGCGAAAGCCUGAUCCAGCACUGCCGCGUGAGUGAUGAAGGCCUUAGAGUUGUAAAGCUCAUUUACCCGGGAUGAUAAUGACAGUACCGGGAGAAUAAGCCCCGGCUAACUCCGUG
rnacentral:rRNA from 1 species